GACGAACCGUGCGAACGUUAUUCGGAAUCACUGGGCUUAAAGCGCGUGUAGGCGGGCCGGCACGUCGGCUGCUGAAAUCCCCCGGCUCAACCGGGGAAGGGGCACCGAUACGACCGGCCUGGAGGGGGGUAGGGGGGACGGGAACUUCCGGUGGAGCGGUGAAAUGCGUUGAGAUCGGAAGGAACGCCCGUGGCGAAAGCGAGCUCCUGGACGUUUUCUGACGCUGAGACGCGAAAGCCAGGGGAGCGAACGGG
rnacentral:rRNA from 1 species